UACGAAGGGGGCUAGCGUUGCUCGGAAUCACUGGGCGUAAAGCGCACGUAGGCGGCUUUUUAAGUCAGGGGUGAAAUCCUGGAGCUCAACUCCAGAACUGCCUUUGAUACUGAGAAGCUUGAGUCCGGGAGAGGUGAGUGGAACUGCGAGUGUAGAGGUGAAAUUCGUAGAUAUUCGCAAGAACACCAGUGGCGAAGGCGGCUCACUGGUCCGAUACUGACGCUGAGGUGCGAAAGCGUGGGGAGCAAACAGG
rnacentral:rRNA from 1 species